GUGGGGAAUAUUGGACAAUGGGCGAAAGCCUGAUCCAGCAAUGCCGCGUGAGUGAUGAAGGCCUUAGGGUUGUAAAGCUCUUUUACCAGGGAUGAUAAUGACAGUACCUGGAGAAUAAGCUCCGGCUAACUCCGUGCCAGCAGCCGCGGUAAUAUGGAGGGAGCUAGCGUUGUUCGGAAUUACUGGGCGUAAAGCGCACGUAGGCGGUUACUCAAGUCAGAGGUGAAAGCCCGGGGCUCAACCCCGGAACUGCCUUUGAAACUAGGUAACUGGAAUCUUGGAGAGGUCAGUGGAAUUCCGAGUGUAGAGGUGAAAUUCGUAGAUAUUCGGAAGAACACCAGUGGCGAAGGCGACUGACUGGACAAGUAUUGACGCUGAGGUGCGAAAGCGUGGGGAGCAAACAGGAUUAGAAACCCCAGUAGUCC
rnacentral:rRNA from 1 species